CGGACGGGUGAGUAACGCGUGGAAAACCUGCCGUAUACUGGGGGAUAACACCUAGAAAUAGGUGCUAAUACCGCAUAAGCGCACAGCUUCGCAUGAAGCGGUGUGAAAAACUCUGGUGGUAUACGAUGGUUCCGCGUCUGAUUAGCUAGUUGGUGGGGUAAUGGCCUACCAAGGCAACGAUCAGUAGCCGGCCUGAGAGGGUGAACGGCCACAUUGGGACUGAGACACGGCCCAAACUCCUACGGAAGGCAGCAG
rnacentral:rRNA from 1 species